rnacentral:rRNA from 1 species
UUUAGAGGAAGUAAAAGUCGUAACAAGGUUUCCGUAGGUGAACCUGCGGAAGGAUCAUUACAAGUGGGGCUACCGAACGUUGGAAACAGCGGUUAGGAGCUUACACCCACCCGUGUUUACAUACUAUUGUUGCUUUGGCGGGCCGUGGCCUCCACUGCGGGCUCUGCUCGUGUGUGCCCGCCAGAGAACCAAACUCUGAAUGUUAGUGAUGUCUGAGUACUAUCUAAUAGUUAAAACUUUCAACAACGGAUCUCUUGGUUCUGGCAUCGAUGAAGAACGCAGCGAAAUGCGAUAAGUAAUGUGAAUUGCAGAAUUCAGUGAAUCAUCGAAUCUUUGAACGCACAUUGCGCCCUGUGGUAUUCCGCAGGGCAUGCCUGUUCGAGCGUCAUUUAACCACUCACGCCUAGCGUGGUAUUGGGGCACGCGGUCUCCGCGGCCCUCAAAAUUAGUGGCGGCGCCGGUGGGCUCUAAGCGUAGUACAUACUCCCGCUAUAGAGUUCCCCCCGGUGGCUCGCCAGAACCCCCAAUUUUUUACAGGUUGACCUCGGAUCAGGUAGGGAUACCCGCUGAACUUAAGCAUAUCAAUAAGCGGAGGA